rnacentral:rRNA from 1 species
CGGGGCUUCUGGUAUUAUGAUACUUCUCGAAUCGCACGGCUUGCGCUGGCGAUGGUUCAUUCAAAUUUCUGCCCUACCAACUUUCGACGGCUGGGUCUUGGCCAGCCAUGGUGACAACGGGUAACGGAGGGUUAGGGCUCGACCCCGGAGAAGGAGCCUGAGAAACGGCUACUACGUCCAAGGAAGGCAGCAGGCGCGCAAAUUAACCAAUCCCGACUCGGGGAGUUAGUGACAAUACAUACUGAUACAGGGGCUCUUUAAGGGUCUUGUAAUACGGAAUGAGUACAAUUUAAACCCCUUAACGAGGAACAAUUGGAGGGCAAGUCUGGUGCCAGCAGCCGACGGUAAUUCCAGCUCCAAUAGCGUAUAUUAAAGUUGUUAGCAGUUAAAAAGCUCGUAGUUAGAACCUUGAGGACCUGGCUGGCCGGUCCGNCUCACCGACGUGCACUGGUCCGGCCGGGCCUUUCCCUCUGGGGAACCUCAUGCCCUUCACUGGGUGUGCUGGGGAACCAGGACUUUUACUUUGAACAAAUCAGAUCGCUUACAGAAGGCCUAUGCUCGAAUAUAUUAGCAUGGAAUAAUAGAAUAGGACGUGUGGAU